rnacentral:rRNA from 1 species
CAGAGUUUGAUCCUGGCUCAGAUUGAACGCUGGCGGCAUGCCUUACACAUGCAAGUCGAACGGCAGCACGGGAGCAAUCCUGGUGGCGAGUGGCGAACGGGUGAGUAAUGCAUCGGAACGUGCCCUGAAGUGGGGGAUAACGUAGCGAAAGUUACGCUAAUACCGCAUAUUCUGUGAGCAGGAAAGCAGGGGAUCGCAAGACCUUGCGCUUUAGGAGCGGCCGAUGUCGGAUUAGCUAGUUGGUGGGGUAAAGGCUCACCAAGGCGACGAUCCGUAGCGGGUCUGAGAGGAUGAUCCGCCACACUGGGACUGAGACACGGCCCAGACUCCUACGGGAGGCAGCAGUGGGGAAUUUUGGACAAUGGGCGCAAGCCUGAUCCAGCCAUGCCGCGUGAGUGAAGAAGGCCUUCGGGUUGUAAAGCUCUUUCGGCGGGGAAGAAAUGGCGCUUUCUAAUACAGAGCGUUGAUGACGGUACCCGCAUAAGAAGCACCGGCUAACUACGUGCCAGCAGCCCCGGUCAA